rnacentral:other from 1 species
AAAUCCCUGCGGUGCUCGUGAUUGGGAGCUUCUGUUUUUUGAGCCUAUACGAUUUAAAAGGGGGCUGGCUCUGACCGCGGUGUGCAUGUCCUUUCAGGCUUUUUGCUGAAAGGAAAGCCUGAAACGGUUAUCCCGGCGCCCACCUAGUAUAUACUAGGGCUCAAAAAUGGGUUGCCACACGGCACAUGCGGGGUUUGA